UUUAUUUUUUUAGAGAUAAAUCUCAGGCACUAAAAUAUAUAUUUUUUUUGAGAGAUAAGUAGCGCGCUAUCUGCUUCGUUUAUUUCAUUUAGAAAUAAAUUUAGUUGAAAAUGUGAAUUAACUAGGAUUCGAACUUGGGUAUCGGGUACCAGCCACCAAGCCUUUUACCACUUGCUCUAGGGACGGUCAGCGACACUAAAGUAUAUUGAAGUGAAGUUAGUUAGACUAGCUAGGACAAAGUCUCAACACCUGAAGAGCCCAUUUGGAUUGGCUACAAUAUGGGGUAUAAGGUCCUUAUACCCCAUUUUGUACCCAAAUAAAAUUUUUUGGGUUAGUUCCCACCCAGGGUGGGAACAAACUUGUUUCCACCGAGCUUGUUCCUGUUUUAAAAUAGAAUUUAAAUUUUUAAAAUUUAAAAUUUGUAAUAUAAAAAUUAAAAUUCUAAAUUCUAAAUUCUAAAUUUUAAAUUUGAUAUUUUAAUAUUUUAAAUUUUAAAAUAUCAAAAAUUUUAUAUCUUUCAAAUUUAAAUUUGGUCUUAAAUUUAAAUUUUCAAAUUUAAAAUUUUUAAAUUUGAAGAUUUAAAUUUUAAAUUUUAAUUUUAAAAUUUAAAUUUUAAAAGUUAAAAAUUAAAUUUAAAAUUAUAAAUGUAAAAUUUAAAAAAAUUAAAUUCAAAUAUAAUGAGAGGGAUAAUAUAAUUAUUUUCUAUUUAUAACUAUUCAUUAUUCUCCUUAUUCCAUUUUAUCUAUCCAAAUACUAUUUUUCUUAUUUCCGGAAACAAUCUAAUUUUCAUCCAAACACAAGAUUGAUCUAAUUCUCACUUAUAUCUAAACUUGUACUUAUCGCUGAAAUAAACAGUUCUUACUUAUACCCAAACCAAACGAAGCGUAUAGGGAUUAAUUCAGCUUGUCCAAAAAAAAAAAAAACUUAAUUCGGAUGGAUUAACUGUGUUGCAUAACAAAACGUAGUUUUUUUUGUUUUUGGGGAGACAAAUAUAGCUGCAAAUUAUUCACUUCAUUCAUUGUUUAAGAAAUAAAAUCGAAUUAAAAACCUCAGAUACCAACUAUAUAUCAAGCUCUUAGAUAAAUUAGGGGUGCCAAUUCAGCUCGCUAUUUGCGAGGCAGUUGAA
rnacentral:lncRNA from 1 species